rnacentral:lncRNA from 1 species
GGAAACAGACUUAUUAUCCUCUCUAAAUUCUUGCUAUCUGUGAUAUUAUAGUUUAUAAUGAGACACAUAUAUUUGUGCUUUCCGGGCACAGAGCUCCUAAAGCCUUUGGCAUUUCCUAAGUGAGGAGAAUGAUAAAGACGUCUUUGUUAUGUUAAUGAGGUGACUUCUGGCAUGCCCCUAAGUCACCUAAGGAUGGGGGCUGGUUGCCAGGGGAACCAACCAUGUGAUUAGAGAGUUGGAACUUUCAGUCCCAUCCCCCAGACCUCCCGGGAGGGCAGAGGGGCUGGAGGUUGAAUCAAUCACCAACGGCCAAUGAUUUAAUCAAUCGUGCCUAUGUAAGGAAGCCUCCAUAAAAACCCAAAAAGGACAGGGUCCGAAGAGCUUCCUGGUUGAACACGUGGAGAGGUGGGAAGAGCUGUGCGCCUGGAGAGGGCAUGGACGCUCCGAGACCCCGCCCGGACGUCUCUUCCGUCUGGCGGUUACUGAAUUAUAUCCUUUUACAAUGCACCGGUGAUCUAGUAAUUCUGGUGGGCGAAGACUGUCAUGGCUAGAGGAGCUGGGAUUCCACUGCUGAACCAACAUGCCACUGGAGUGAAAUCCUCAGCUGUGCCUUCAUGCCCGUUCCUGAUCAUUUCAAAAUUUCUCCACUAUUUCUAGGGCCGGCCUGGUGGUGUAGCAGACUUUCAUAUGCAGUCAUGCAUCGCUUAGUGAUGGGGAUGUGUUCUGAGAAAUGUGUCAUCAGGCAAC